rnacentral:rRNA from 1 species
AUACGGAGGAUGCGAGCGUUAUCCGGAUUUAUUGGGUUUAAAGGGAGCGUAGGUGGGAUAUUAAGUCAGCUGUGAAAGUUUGGGGCUCAACCUUAAAAUUGCAGUUGAUACUGGUUUCCUUGAGUACGGUAUAGGUGGGCGGAAUUCGUGGUGUAGCGGUGAAAUGCUUAGAUAUCACGAAGAACUCCGAUCGCGAAGGCAGCUCACCGGGCCGGAACUGACACUGAUGCUCGAAAGUGCGGGUAUCAAACAGGAUUAGAUACCCUGGUAGUCCGCACAGUAAACGAUGAAUACUUGUUUUCGGCGAUAUAAUGUCGGAGGCAAAGCGAAAGCGAUAAGUAUUCCACCUGGGGAGUACGCCGGCAACGGUGAAACUCAAAGGAAUUGGCGGGG